rnacentral:rRNA from 1 species
AUGUCUCCCCUGCACCCUCCCCACCUGCAUUUCCGCAAGCUCAAGAAGCGCGCGCGCGCCGCCAUCGGAAGCGGCAGCCACCGCCCCGCCGCCAAGGCCAGGAAGGGCCUCGCCGCCAUCCUGUACAAGCUCCGCGACGUGCACCGCCCGCCGUCGUCGCCGCCCUCGCCAUCUCCGUCGCCGUCGACCCCGCAACACCGGCAGCUCUGCUACCCGCCGGCCCCGUCCACGUGGCCGUGGCCGUCGUGCCGUCACCCACGCACCAGCUCAUUCCGCGCGCGCCCUGAGGAUGCCGCGGCCGUCGUGUACCGGACGGCGAACACAGUGUACGACACACGGUCGGAGCACUUCCUACGGCGCCCGUCCCUGGAUGAAGCGUCGUGCAGUGGCCGGAACUCCUUCGCCGUGUCGGGACAGGCUGCCGUGGAUCGGGAGCCGGAGGCGGAGGAGAGAAAGGAGCAGCAGCUGCGUGAGACAGCCGUCGUGCGCGGCGUGCGGUCGGAACGGCUCUUCUUUGAGCCGGCCGGCGCAGAGUUCUUCUCGCCCACGCAGGCGGAGGCGCUAGGCAAGACCGAAGACAUCACCACGGACGCGGCCGCCGAGGACGAAGAAGCGAACACCGCGCCGGCCGGCAAGACCGAGCAGAAGCCGGCAGAUUACUCCGAGCUGAAGGCUGGCGCGGUGGUGGUAUCAAUGGAGUCGGAGGACCCGUACGGCGACUUCCGAGCGUCCAUGGCGGAGAUGGUGGCGGCGCACGGGCUGCGGGACUGGGAGGGCCUGGAGGAGCUCCUGGCGUGGUACCUCAAGCUCAACGCCAAGGGCGUCCACGGCGUCAUCGUGGGCGCCUUCGUGGACCUGCUCGUGAGCCUGGCGACCCCGCCGAGUCCGUCGCUGCCGUCGCAGUCGCCGUCGUCGUCGUGCAUUACGUUCGAGGAUUACUCGUCGGCCACCUUCGACGACGAAGAGAAGUGCUGA